GGUUCCAUGGUGUUAUGGUUAGCACUCAAGACUAUUAAUCUUGCGAUCCGAGUUCAAAUCUCGUUGAAACUU
rnacentral:tRNA from 1 species